CGCUGGCGGCGUGCUUAACACAUGCAAGUCAGGGGGAAAGGGGUAGCAAUAUCCCGAGUAUACCGGCGCACGGGUGAGUAACGCGUAGGCAAUCUGCCUUUAGGACGGGGAUAACUCCGAGAAAUCGGGGCUAAUACCCGAUAAUGCAGCGGCACCGCAUGGUGAUGUUGUUAAAGGCCCGCAAGGGCGCCUAUAGAUGAGCCUGCGUCCCAUUAGGUAGUUGGUGGGGUCAUAGCCCACCAAGCCUGCGAUGGGUAGCUGGUCUGAGAGGAUGAUCAGCCACACUGGAACUGAGACACGGUCCAGACUCCUACGGGAGGCAGCAGUGAGGAAUAUUGCGCAAUGGCCGAAAGGCUGACGCAGCGACGCCGCGUGGAGGAUGAAGUCCGUUAGGAUGUAAACUCCUUUUGUGGGGGAUGAAUACUCCGUCUAGAACGGAGUUGACCGUACCCCGCGAAUAAGGGUCGGCUAACUACGUGCCAGCAGCCGCGGUAAUACGUAGGACCCGAGCGUUGUCCGGAUUUACUGGGUGUAAAGGGCGUGUAGGUGGAUCUCUAAGUCGGUGGUGAAACCCUGCAGCUCAACUGCAGAAUUGCCCGUCGAAACUGGGGAUCUUGAGUACGGCAGAGGGAGAUGGAAUUCAUGGUGUAGCCGGUGAAAUGUGUAGAUAUCAUGAAAGAACACCGUAGCGAAGGCGGUCUCCUGGUCCGUUACUGACACUGAGGCGCGAAAGCCUGGGGAGCAAACAGGAUUUAGAUACCCUGGUAGUCCCCGCCUUAAACAUGGGUUCCUAGGUGCUGGGCCGCAAGGUUCAGUG
rnacentral:rRNA from 1 species